rnacentral:rRNA from 1 species
GAACGCUGGCGGUAGGCCUAACACAUGCAAGUCGAACGGCAGCACAGUAAGAGCUUGCUCUUACGGGUGGCGAGUGGCGGACGGGUGAGGAAUACAUCGGAAUCUACUUUUUCGUGGGGGAUAACGUAGGGAAACUUACGCUAAUACCGCAUACGACCUACGGGUGAAAGCAGGGGAUCUUCGGACCUUGCGCGAUUGAAUGAGCCGAUGUCGGAUUAGCUAGUUGGCGGGGUAAAGGCCCACCAAGGCGACGAUCCGUAGCUGGUCUGAGAGGAUGAUCAGCCACACUGGAACUGGGACACGGUCCAGACUCCUACGGGAGGCAGCAGUGGGGAAUAUUGGACAAUGGGCGCAAGCCUGAUCCAGCCAUACCGCGUGGGUGAAGAAGGCCUUCGGGUUGUAAAGCCCUUUUGUUGGGAAAGAAAAGCAGCAGGUUAAUACCCCGCUGUUCUGACGGUACCCAAAGAAUAAGCACCGGCUAACUUCGUG